rnacentral:rRNA from 1 species
AACGAACGCUGGCGGCAUGCCUAACACAUGCAAGUCGAACGAGAUCUUCGGGUCUAGUGGCGCACGGGUGCGUAACGCGUGGGAAUCUGCCCUUUGGUUCGGAAUAACAGUUGGAAACGACUGCUAAUACCGGAUGAUGACGAAAGUCCAAAGAUUUAUCGCCAGAGGAUGAGCCCGCGUAGGAUUAGCUAAUUGGUGUGGUAAAGGCGCACCAAGGCGACGAUCCUUAGCUGGUCUGAGAGGAUGAUCAGCCACACUGGGACUGAGACACGGCCCAGACUCCUACGGGAGGCAGCAGUGGGGAAUAUUGGACAAUGGGCGAAAGCCUGAUCCAGCAAUGCCGCGUGAGUGAUGAAGGCCUUAGGGUUGUAAAGCUCUUUUACCAGGGAUGAUAAUGACAGUACCUGGAGAAUAAGCUCCGGCUAACUCCGUGCCAGCCGCCGCCGUAA